UACAGAGACUGCAAGCGUUUAUUCGGAUUCACUGGGCGUAAAGGGUGCGCAGGUGGCCAAGUGUGUUAGGCGUGAAAGCCCGGGGCUUAACCCCGGAAUUGCACCUAAAACUACUUGGCUAGAGCAUUGGAGAGGGGAGCAGAAUUCACGGUGUAGCAGUGAAAUGCGUAGAUAUCGUGAGGAAUACCAGAGGCGAAGGCGGCUCCCUGGACAAUUGCUGACACUCAGGCACGAAAGCGUGGGGAGCAAAAGGG
rnacentral:rRNA from 1 species